rnacentral:misc_RNA from 1 species
AAAGUCGUAACAAGGUUUCCGUAGGUGAACCUGCGGAAGGAUCAUUACCGAGAAGAGGGCCCCCCGGGGCCCGAACCUCCAACCCCCUGUGAACCGAAACCUCAGUUGCCUUGGCGGGUUCGAGCCCGCCCCCAUAACCUUUUUUUCAAGGAAGCUGGGGCGGGCAGCCCCCUCGUCGUCCCCCCAGGAGCGGGGACGUGACGGGGGCGCCCCGUCGAAAGGUCCCAAGAAAACCCCGUCUCACCGUGUGGUCUGAGCAGAAGAACGAAAUAGAAACAAAACUUUCAACAACGGAUCUCUUGGUUCCA